GCCAGAUGCAGGUUAAGACGGCGAAAUGAGAAAGCAAUCGACGCCGGCGGCUGGAGACAGCACGGAGGGAACGACGGCCACGGUGGCCUGACCGUUAUCGGCAAGGGCGCUGGCAGAGCUUAUGGGUCGUCGACGGUGGAAAUGGGACGACUAGGAAGAGCUGCGACUUGUGUGAAGAGACACGACUUGUGGGAAGAGACGCGAAGAUGAUCGACGACAGAGCCUCUGGAUGGUCCUCCGGUGGCCGUUGAACGGCGAACGACGGUGACAACCUGACGGGGCUUUGAUAGUUGAGAGGGAGAGUUUCUCUCUCUAAGGUUUCUUUCACAAUCUGAAAAUGAAAUUUGAAUUAAAAAUGUUUUCUUCCUCUUUCUCUCAUACCCCUCCAAUAAUUCACGUCAUUUUUUAUUUUUUUUAUUUUCUUAAAGGUUGACUAAUGAGAACGUUACACAUUAUUGGUCUCUGACACAUUAUUGGUGUAAAACAUUCGUCAUCCUAAAGGUAUCAAAUAUCAUUUUUCUUUAUUUUAUAUACAGAGUUCUAUUUCACAACUACUAAGCGGACUACUCCAUUAAGUUAUUUUAGAGCUAUAAUGUAUUUAUUUUGGUGGUUUUAUGAUUAUACAUUGAUUCCUGAUUGAAUUACACAUUAUAAAAAUUAAGUUGCAUAUUUUAGUUGUUAUAUUACUUUUAAUAUGUAUUAAUGUUAUUAUAAUAUAAUUGUUUUUGCAUUUAUAUCGAUUGCUGUUGAACUCGAGCUUGAGUUUCAAAUUUAAUUAAGUUAUUGAUUUAUGAAGUUAAAUAUUUCAAUUUCAAAGUGAAAUAUUUUGAAAUAUGUUGGAUGCAAAAAUAUCAAAUUGGGUUAUAUAUCUCAAACUAUAGAAUAUUAUGUGAAGAAACUUUAUCACGGACUUUCCUUCACAGUUGAAUAAAGACGCCAGUCUAUAAGCUCAACAAAUAAAAAAAUUAAGUCAAACAAAAUGCCCAAGUUUAAUUAGAAUCAUCCAAAAACGAAUUAUCCACACAUCACAUUCUUACAUCUUUCACUGCAAUCUUGUUUGAAACCCAAAAAAUAGAUUAAUAAAGUUAGUGUUAGAAUGAAAACCUACUAUAUCAAUAUUGGUCUUAGUUUGAUUCCAGGCUAAGGCAUUUGUUUUUAUUUUGCAUUGCGGUUACAAUCUAAGAGAAAUAAAUGUUUAACAAAAUUUUAUUCAUGAAGUAUACCAAAUUACUAAUCAACAUUUACAAGAGACCUUGCAGCACAGAAAUUCCGAGGGUCUGCAGUUUUUAAAUGCUGUAAAAUUCUAUAAACCUUUUAUUUCUUUCUUUUUGUUUUUUCCUACAAAUAAUUUGGCAUAGCACUGACACCAAAUUAUGGCUAAGCAACCUCUGCAAAUCCAAUACGAAGAUUGCCGUAGUCAAACACUGUGUGAUAUGCCCCCAAGAAAAGAUCUCCAAGA
rnacentral:lncRNA from 1 species